AACAUGGUAGGAAAGUGAAUUAGAAGUUGGAAAUCCUGGACUUUCAUGUAAUCUCUCUGGGCCUCACAUUCUCUCCAUCUGAUAGAUUGGGAAGCUCUCUUGCUAGCCCAUUCAUAGGACACCUGAAAGGGAUACUGGGAAAACAUCCAUAAAAUGAUCCCAAAGGGACAGAGAAAUGCUGUAGCACUUGAGAAGAUUAAACCAAAGCACCUAAUCCUCCCUGCCCAUGUUGCACUGACACGGAAAAUGUUGGGCGCCAGGAGGCAGCCGCUUGCCACCUCCCUGUCCUGCGGCAUCUCCGGGGGCCAGCGCUGCCCAGGCCAGUUGGAAGGCGGGGCCAGUUGGAAGGCGGGGCCAGUUGGAAGGCGGGGCCAGUUGGAAGGCGGGGCCAGUUGGAAGGCGGGGCCAGUUGGAAGGCUCGGUGCUGGGGCCGCCCUGGCACAGAGCCAGGGCGGUGCGAGUGUGGGGAAUGCCCCCAGGCCCACAUGCCGCUGCCUGUUUCCAGCCACGCUGCUUGCGUGAUCCUGAUUGGCUACAGCAAGAAAGAGCAAGAUGACUGAGGCUAGAGAAAGGUUUCCAAGAAGCAAUGUGGGACAGGGACGAGAACCACUGAGCUGGCAGGCAGCAGGCCUGGUGCUGAGCCCAGAACUGCCAUCCUGGCCUCUUCUGUCCCUGCUUCUAAGAGCACAGAGGUCCUUCUUGGAAGAGCUGACAUAAAAGGAAAACGUAAAGUACAACUGAGAACUAGGAGAAACUAAAAUGUUGCCUCCUGCCUUCACAUAUAACAGAAGGAUGGAUUUGCAUGGAUUUCUAUCUCAAGUUGGAAUGCCAAUAAAGUUCUUAAAAAUAUCCAAAUGCUUGAGUAAAUCCAGAGUGGACUACAAAGAAACUUAGCUGCCUAGAGUUAUG